GACGAACCGUGCGAACGUUAUUCGGAAUCACUGGGCUUAAAGCGCGUGUAGGCGGCCCGGCACGUCCGUCGCUGAAAUCCCCCGGCUCAACCGGGGAAGGGGCGCGGAUACGACCGGGCUGGAGGGGGGUAGGGGAAUCGGGAACUUCCGGUGGAGCGGUGAAAUGCGUUGAGAUCGGAAGGAACGCCCGCGGCGAAAGCGCGGUUCUGGACCCCACCUGACGCUGAGACGCGAAAGCCAGGGGAGCGAACGGG
rnacentral:rRNA from 1 species